GGGAUUGUGGCUCAGUGGUAGAGCACUUGCUUCGAAUGUGUGAGGUGCUGGGUUCGAUUCUCAGCACCA
rnacentral:tRNA from 1 species